AUGCCACACACAUGACCCAGGUGUUUACUAGCGGUGGAUCCCUCCCUAGCGCUUCUCUCAGGGAAGAGGCAAACCCAGCCGUUAACUCCAGGUUCACCAAGAUGUCACUACCAUCAUCAUACCAACCUUGAUAUCUAGCUUUGAAGUUUUCUAUGGACCUUAGAAAACUCUCUGGCGUCUUGAUAGCUAAUCUCAGAAGAUGGGCAGCCAAAUAGCAGUAUGCACAGGCUGACAUAUCCCUUUUCCUGUUGUCUUCACCCUCAUCACCAGGAUGUUGCUUUCUUCUUAUUCUUCUUCUUUUCUCUUUCCUUGCUCAUGGCAAGCAACUCAGCUUCAGCUUCCGCAAGUUCAUCAUCUUGACUAUUCUCAGUAUCAAUUUUUGCUUCCAUGCUCUGAGUCCCAUGACCAUAAGGAGGUGGAGUCAAAAGGUGAGCGUCACCAUCUCCGCCUGGGAGAGGAAGUGAUAUAGCUAAGAGGAGGAUUUUGUAGAGGAGAUCUGUAGACACCUUAUCAUUCCUAAUUUGCAACAGCAAAGCUGACCCUACUAUCAUGGAUUGAGCACAGUCUAAUUGCUUCACAUUAUAGGUGUUGAUUUUUGACAAUUCCGAAUCUGACCAUGUUUUCGGUAACAAAUUCCCAGAUGCAAUUACUACUCCGGAUAACUCACCUUACCGUUUGUUUAAUUCCAUCUCAGCUUCAGCUGAUUUAGCCACUGGUUGAGAUGCUUGUGCCUGGGGCUUAUUUAUCUGAAUCCCUUUACCUUUUGCUGCGGCAGCUUCCAUAGCACUCUAGCCUUUUCUUGAUGUAACAUUUUUGCCCUGGCUUAAAGGAUAUCCCUGGCUGCUUUGUUUUCCAUGCAUGGAAGUGUGUCGGAUGUUGGUGACGCUGCUGUGCUGGACUGCGUCAGGGCUGCUCACGGUGGCUGAGGGAUGAUGAGCAGGUGGUGCUCACGAUGGCGGUGCAGAUGAGAAACCACCGCUGCUGGAUGUUGAAGAGUGUUACUAUCAGUUGGUAAGCCCCCGGUGGCUGGAGUUGGUGGUGCUGACCGUGGGGGUAGUAGCUGUUGCUGGUUGAGGGGGCUACGGCGGAGAUGGGUAAAGGAGCAGCUGCUGUUUUGGAAACGAAGGUGGUUGCUGUUGGGUUUGUUUGUGUUAAAGGAUCGAUGAUGGAGAAACAUUGGAGAGGAGGCUGAAAGGGUGUUGGUUGCCGCUGGGCAGAGCUGGAGCCGAGAGAAGGAUUGCCGUGGUGGUUGCUGCUGGUUCAGUGGUGGAGGAGAAACGGGUGAGGGCUGGUUAGUUGGAGAGGGAAGGCAUGGGUCGAAAGUUUUGUUCCUGGGUAUUGUGGCUAGUCCAGUAAAAUUACAAUGAAGUCUUGAGCUCCCCCCAUCGUUUUCUCGAGCUCCCCCUCUAUGC